GCACGCGAUCGAUUAGCCAUGCGAGUCGAGAGCUUUCGGAGCUCGGCAUACUGCUCAGUAACACGUGGAUAACCUGCCCUGUGCUCCGGGAUAACCUCGGGAAACUGAGAAUAAUACCGGAUAGUCCACCACGCCUGGAACGGUGGGUGGAUCAAAGGUCACGGCACAGGAUGGGUCUGCGGCGUAUCAGGUUGUAGGGGGUGUAAAGGACCCCCUAGCCAUUGACGCGUACGGGUUGUGGGAGCAAUCGCCCGGAGAUGGAUUCUGAGACACGAAUCCAGACCCUACGGGGUGCAGCAGGCGCGAAAACUUCACACUGCAGGAAACUGUGAUGAGGGAACUCCAAGUGCAUGCACAAUGUGUAUGCUUUUCCUAACUUUUAAUCGGUUAGGGAAUAAGGGCUGGGAAAGACCGGUGCCAGCCGCCGCGGUAAUACCGGCAGCUCAAGUGGUCGUCGCUUUUAUUGGGCCUAAAACGUCCGUAGCCUGUUUGGUAAAUCUGUGGGGUAAAUCAACCAGCUUAACUGGUUGAAUUCUGCAGAGACUGCCAGACUAGGGACCGGGAGAGGUGUGGGGUACUCUCGGGGUAGGGGUAAAAUCCUGUCAUCCUGGGAGGACCACCAAGUUGCGAAGGCGCCACACUGGAACGGAUCCGACGGUCAGGGACGAAGCCUAGGGGCACGAACCGGAUUAGAUACCCGGGUAGUCCUAGGAGUAACGCUGUGAACUUGGUGUCGGGGAUCCUACUGGCUCCCGGUGCGGAGUGAAGAUGUUAAGUUCCACUGCCUGUGAGUACGGUCCGCAAGGCUGAAACUCAAAGGAUUGACGGGAUCCACUA
rnacentral:rRNA from 1 species